CCCUAUUAUUUUGGAAUGUUAAUUUUUUGUACCUGAGUAGUAUUAGUUAUGUUCUUGAAACUUAAAGAAUUUGGCGGUAUCUCAUUCCGUCUAGAGGAAUCUGUCCCGUUAUCGAUAGUCCGCGUUGGACCUUACUUAUAUUGAUUUAUGGUUUGUAUACCGCCGUUUAUUGAUUAUCUUUUUAGGGUUUAUGAUAAUUUUCUGGUUUCUUUAUUUUGAUAUAUUUCAGGUCAAGGUGCAGCUUGUUUUUAAGUGGAUGAUGGAUUACAUUAUUAUUUGUUUUUGGAUUGUCAGUUUUAAUAUUGGCAUGAAAUUGGAUUUAGUUGUAAUAAUUUGUAGAUUGUUAUUAUGAUAAUUGGUUCUGAGAUAUGCACACAUCGCCCGUCGCUCUCGUUUAUUAUAAUGAGAUAAGUC
rnacentral:rRNA from 1 species